CUAAAGAUUAGAACCUGCAGUU
rnacentral:siRNA from 1 species